CGGAGGGAGUGCGCUUGCGUGUCUCCGCCCCAGACUCCGGUUCUGCGCGUGGGUGACGGUUGGUCCCGGUCCCGGCUACAGCUCUGUGCGCGGGAUGGCGAGCGCAUCUGCCCUCGCGGGGAGCUCUGCCCUAGGGCUGGGCGCCGUUGGGGGGACCGGUCCCUGGGGCAGCGCGGCCGGUGGCCCAUCCCGCUAUGUGGCCGGGAUGCAGGAGCUGUUUCGGAGCCAUAGCAAGACUCGCGAAUUCCCGGCGCACAGCGCCAAGGUGCACUCGGUGGCCUGGAGCUGUGACGGCCGACGCCUGGCCUCGGGCUCCUUCGACAAGACGGCCAGCGUCUUUUUGCUCGAGAAGGACCGCCUGGUAAAAGAAAAUAACUACCGAGGGCAUGGGGACAGUGUUGAUCAGCUUUGUUGGCAUCCAAGUAAUCCAGACCUCUUUGUCACUGCAUCUGGGGACAAAACUAUUCGCAUCUGGGAUGUUAGAACUACAAAAUGCAUUGCUUCUGUGAAUACUAAAGGGGAGAAUAUUAACAUUUGCUGGAGUCCUGAUGGUCAGACUAUUGCUGUGGGCAAUAAAGAUGAUGUGGUAACUUUCAUUGAUGCUAAAACCCAUCGUUCAAAAGCAGAGGAGCAAUUUAAAUUUGAGGUCAAUGAAAUCUCCUGGAAUAAUGAUAACAAUAUGUUCUUCCUUACUAAUGGCAAUGGUUGUAUCAACAUUCUCAGCUAUCCUGAGCUGAAGCCUGUGCAGUCCAUUAAUGCCCAUCCUUCCAAUUGUAUCUGCAUCAAAUUUGACCCCACAGGGAAGUACUUUGCCACAGGAAGUGCUGAUGCACUGGUUAGCCUUUGGGAUGUUGAUGAGUUGGUGUGUGUGAGAUGUUUUUCCAGAUUGGACUGGCCAGUGAGAACCCUCAGCUUUAGCCAUGAUGGGAAGAUGCUUGCAUCAGCAUCUGAGGAUCACUUUAUUGACAUUGCUGAAGUAGAGACAGGGCAUGCAUUCAGGACAUGAUAGAAGACCACCCAAGACUUUUUAAAUUUUGUGACUACUACCUACUUCUGGCGAUUCAGAAGUCCUCUGAAAUUCAGCAUUCAACAUUUGGAAACUGGGUAAAAUUUUUUACUCAGCUGCUGUAGUGACUUCCUGCAUCUCCUGUUCCCAUGGUAAUACGACCAGAAGAGAAGCCAGGAUUGUGUAUGCAUGAGAAGACAACUAGGACCACAGGGAGUAGAAACAUAGUGAGAACAUUUGAGUAAAGAUCAUUGAGGAGAGAAAUAUAAACGGGAGUGUACAAUAGAUUAUUUGGUCAGAAAGAGUAAAUAGAUGAAGAGUUUGGGAAAAAGAUCACAAGUCUGUCACAUCAUUAUGACAGAGUGGGGAUAGGGGAUUGAUUUUAGUUACCUAGAUAUCUGCUGUAGCUCCUUUUCUGUCCAAAGUCAACUGAUUUUUUUGACUUGCCUUAAUAAUUCAAUCCUUCAAAAGACAGAGGAAAUAACAGGAAGGAAUUGCUAUUCUGGAUAUGAUUCUGGCCAACAGGAAGAAAUUGGUUGCUAAAGGAGAACUGGGGAACUUUGAGCACUAUAUCUUAGAAUAUAAAAGAGGGCAGGAAAAGCAGCUAUAGUCUAUUAAACACCUUAGAUUUUGGGAAUACAGAUUUCAAAGUUUUCAGAGAAAGGUAAAAGGAAGUCCUAUGGCCUAAAAUUCUAUAGGGAAAGGCUUCCCCUGAAGAAUGGAAUACUCUUAGGAGUAAAAUUCUGAAAACACCCAAAGAAAACCAAUUACAUUAGUGUAGUGAGGAUACCCUGAACCAUUCUCCCAGAAUCAGGCCUACUAGCCUAUAUCCUAGGGUAUCCUGAGGGAUUUGAAGUAUCUUCUCUAUUAUUGCUUGAGCUAUUACUGUCUGUGUUCUCUGAAUUGUUAGGUGCCAAUGACUAGCACUCUAGUUCCAUUUAACCAAUUAACAUCUAUUUACAUUGAAGUUAUAGCAAGAACAAAUGUAGAAAUAUUUCCUCCCAAAACCUCAGGGUCACACCCUUAACUUAGUUCCUUACUAACAUUAGUCCUACUAAGUUUAUGUCCAGAUGUGGCAUGAUUGCAGAAUGAGUCGUCAACUCGGCUUCCAAUGGACUGUGUCUCACAGGUCACUCCUGAAGGUCACUCGUUCUUUGGGGCAUAGAGGCUGGACUGACUAAGUCCAAACACUGGAAUUCUGGGACAUUGAGCAUUGUCUUAACCUUUCAAAACUCAACUUUCAAAACUUUCCUUCACCUAGAAUGGAAAAAGAACAAAGGUCGAGGCCAAGGACUGAUGUCCAUUUUGUGGGGUUAUAUAGCCUCAAAAGGGACAAGGCUCCAAGGCCUCUCUCUUCCAGUAUUGUCUCUCAUUGGAUGCCCUAAGUAAAGGAGAUAAAAGGUACUUCAUGAGCAUAGCCAAAGAGAAAAUGGCUAAAUGGUCUAGCCCAAAGCGGACAGCCUUUGAAGAUACUCCCAGUUUUAUCUACACAGAUAGUUGAAAUAGGUUAUUUAUAACUGCAUUAUUAGCAGAACAGACCAGUUACAGAUAGAAAAACUCCAUAGCCUCUCCUUGACUUCCAGGUCCCUCAAUCUCUCCACAUGGAGAGAUGCCAUCUGAGGAUCUCUGAAAAUGCAUUAGAUACAAGAGAAAAAAGGAGAAUUGAAUAAGGACAGGACAAUUUUUUUAGAGAAGAUAGGUAUGGUAUGGUUAUGGUUAUGGUUGACCAAAAUGAUAUCACUAUGUCAUGGUCAGUUUACAUUGUGUCUGACUGUGGUUGAUCAGACCAUUAUGGGCUUGGAAGGCUCUAACACAGAUUGGGCACAAGUAGUCCAUAUGAACAUUUGGGAUGGAGAUAGAUGUAUCUAAAUUUGCACAUCUCAUGUUUCUUUUGAGCUACUGCAAUUCUGCUUUACCCCCAGAGCACAGUUCUUUUCUUUGACGUGGGCAGCAUACUGGAUGGUCCUGUGCCAGUGUCUCCCAAGUUUCACAAUAAAUAACAAAGAGAUCUUUA